UCAAAUCAGAUCGCUAUGUAUCAUCGAUUUAUUGGUGAUUAGGUACCGCUCUUGUUCCCUCCCGAGAAGAAUUUUGUAAAGAGAAGAUUUAUUAAAGGAUUUGAAUAUUAUGUUUUGACUUAGCUAUGAAUAUUGUUUUUUUUAAUAAAAUCUCUAAUUAGUGAUGUUUAUGUCUGGUGAUGGAAAUCGGCCAGGUACAACACACUUGUUGUUAACACAUCCACAUACGGUAUUCUUUGGGAACUGGCAAUGUAUGCAUCCUAUAUUUUUGUAGCAAUCCUUCGCCACCAAGCAUCCACAUCCAACUAUGGGCCCUCUUGCUUCCGCUCCAUCUGUCGAAAACGAACACGAAAAACAAAAAAAGGUUAUUAUCAGGAGAAUAUGUCAAGAAAUAUGGUAUUUCAAUCAUUCGAAUUGUGGGUGAGUAUUCUAACGAAUAAAAUAAUCUAAUUUGUAUUAUACAUGCUUAUAAUGAGAAACAAGCAAGAGAACAAACACGAAAGAGAUUUGAGCGAAACGAUUACAGUGAGAAAUAAGGAAGAGAGCAGCAACCAAGAAAGCUAAAAGUGAAGUGUUCUUCAUUGUUUGUGUGAUGUGAUGAUGAUUUGUGAGUAGGAAGUGUGUGACACCAUAUGUAUUUAUAGGCCAAGAU
rnacentral:lncRNA from 1 species